rnacentral:rRNA from 1 species
UACGUAAGGUGCAAGCGUUGUCCGGAAUUAUUGGGCGUAAAGAGCUCGUAGGCGGUUUGUCGCGUCUGCCGUGAAAGUCCGGGGCUCAACUCCGGAUCUGCGGUGGGUACGGGCAGACUAGAGUGAUGUAGGGGGAGACUGGAAUUCCUGGUGUAGCGGUGAAAUGCGCAGAUAUCAGGAGGAACACCGAUGGCGAAGGCAGGUCUCUGGGCAUUAACUGACGCUGAGGAGCGAAAGCAUGGGGAGCGAACAGG